rnacentral:rRNA from 1 species
UAGUCCACGCCGUAAACGAUGAGAACUAGAUGUCGGGAGGAUUUACCUCUCGGUGUCGCAGCUAACGCGUUAAGUUCUCCGCCUGGGGAGUACGCCGGCAGCGGUAAAACUCAAAGGAAUUGACGGGGACCCGCACAAGCGGUGGAGCAUGUGGUUUAAUUCGAUGCAACGCGAAGAACCUUACCUGCCCUUGACAUCCUCAGAACUUGUUAGAGAUAACUCGGUGCCUUCGGGAAUUGAGUGACAGGUGCUGCAUGGCUGUCGUCAGCUCGUGUCGUGAGAUGUUGGGUUAAGUCCCGCAACGAGCGCAACCCUCGCUGUUAGUUGCCAGCAUUUAGUUGGGCACUCUAGCAGGACCGCCGGUGAUAAGCCGGAGGAAGGUGAGGAUGACGUCAAAUCAUCAUGGCCCUUACGGGCUGGGCUACACACGUGCUACAAUGGCGCCUAUAGUGGGUUAAUCCCUAAAAGGCGUCUCAGUUCGGAUUGUCGUCUGCAACUCGAC